rnacentral:lncRNA from 10 species
UGUGAGCAACAUGGCUGUUUAUUUCACCUGGGUGCAGGCGGGCUGAGUCCGAAAAGAGAGUCAGCAAAGGGAGAUAGGGGUGGGGCCGUUUUAUAGGAUUUGGGAAGGUAAUGGAAAAUUACAGUCAAAGGGGGUUGUUCUCUGGUGGGCAGGGGUGGAUCUCACAAAGUACAUUCUCAAGAGUGGGGAGAAUUACAAAGAACCUUCUUAAGGGUGGGGGAGAUUACAAAGUACAUUGAUCAGUUAGGGUGGGGCAGGAACAAAUCACAAUGGUGGAAUGUCAUCAGUUAAGGCAGUUUUUAUUUCUUUUGUGGAUCUUCAGUUACUUCAGGCCAUCUGGAUGUAUACGUGCAAGUCACAGGGGAUGUGAUGGCCUGGCCUGGGCUCAGAGGCCUGACAUUCCUGCCUUCUUAUAUUAAUAAGACAAAUAAAACAAAAUAGUGUUGAAGUGUUGGAGCGGCAAAAAUUUUUGGGGGGUGGUGUGGAGAGAGAACGGGCGAUGUUUCUCAGGGCUGCUUCAAGCGGGAUUAGGGGCAGCGUGGGAACCUAGAGUGGGAGAGAUUAAGCUGAAGGGAGGUCUUGUGGUAAGGGGUGAUAUUGUGGGGAUGUUGGAGGACGCAAAGGAGGCUUUGGAUUGGGAAGAAGGGCAGCAAUGAGAUGCAGCUGUAGUCCAGGAAUAGUCAGGGAAGCAGAUAAUUUGGUUAAAAUAUCUCGGUCUAAUAAGGGAACUGGGCAGGUGGGGAUAACUAAAAAAGAGUGCAUAAAAGAGUAUUGUCUAAGUUGGCACCAGAGUUGGGGAGUUUUAAGAGGUUUAGAAGCCUGUCUGUCAAUACCCACAACAGUUAUGGAGGCAAGGGAAACAGGCCCUUGAAAAGAAGGUAAUGUGGAGUGGGUAGCCUCCGUAUUGCUUAAGAAGGGGACGGGCUUACCUUCCGCUGUGAGAGUUACCGGAAGCUCGGCGUCCGUGAUGGUCUAUGGGGCUUCCGAGGCGAUCGGGCAGCAUCAGUCUUCAGCCGCUAAGCCGAGAAGGAGUCGGAUUUGAAAUUGGUGAGAUGUUUCUUGGGC